AUGCAACCCAAGGGGAGCGGGGACUUCCUGCCUCAUUUCCGUUGCGCUCAGCUUCCAGCUUUCCUUUCCAGGGAGACACCUCUGCCUGACUCAUAUGCAGUAGGGGAAAUUUCUGGGACAGGGACCGGCUACCCGAGAGUCAAGGCAGAGCUGUUGUGGAACCUAGGUAACAGGAUACCACCUCCCGGAUAAGGUACAACGGACUUCAGACAUGCCAAACUGCUCACACACAGGGGGAGUGGGAUUUUAGAAUUAGUGUCUUGUACACACAAAAGCACGAAGCUCAGACAAUUUACUGAACCAGGUACUGUUGCUUUUUCUUGAACACAGAUGCACACUGGGACCAGGCCAGCGCUUAAAUGACAGAGGCUGAGCUGGGAAUAAGAUGCUGAUGGCAACCAGGCCACUCCCUCUGGGUCAGGGAGGCAGUAGGGAGUGGUGGGGACUGUGGCGAAUAGGACCCCUUGUCCCGACUAGAGGGCACCCUGCCCACAGCUCCUCUGGGUACCACAUGUUUCACACCUUAUUGCUCAAGAGAGUCUGGAAAUCUCUCUGGAUUUUCAUAGGGAAAGCCUUCACUUUUAACUAUUGUUCUGUUAUUCAAAUGUAACACGGCCUGUAAACCACAUGAAACGUCUGUAAUCUGGACGGGCCCCACCCUGUCUUUAUCAAAACUCUAUUGCCAUCUACUGAAUUACAGACACAGGGGAAAUGGAACUGUAGAAUCUUCGAACCUUCAGUGUUGGGGGAUCGUGUUAGUCAUCAUGGAGUGAGGUCAUAGGGCUUUCUAGGGCUAGGGAGACACGGGAAGAUCUUGUUGUCAUGACAACUAACCAGAGUGCCUGGAAAUGGCUUCCACCUCCAUUCUCAACAUCACCAGAGUAUUCUAGGAACUCUCAAGUUGUUCAUCAAGAUGUAAAACAAAGGCACAGAAGACAUUGACCCAGGGGCAGACAGAGGCCAUCAGGUUCUCACUCUGACAAGAACCUUUGUGUCCUCCCCUAGGGUCGCCUGAAUAUUGGUCCCAACCAUGUGAACAGCUAGCCUCAACUGUGGGGUCUCCGACACUACCCAAGACGCCCCAGUUUGAGACUGUGUAACACCAGGAUUUCCUCUCCAUCCUCAUAGUCUGAUUCUAUGACCCAACACAAUUUGCAAACUACAUAUCCCCUGGAAAAUAGGGAAUACUUGGAAUCCCUGUACUCCCUAAAAUACAGCCAGAGGGGUGCAAGCCCAGAGGUGGAGAGUCCUGCUGCUAUGCUGACAGAACGGGCCCUGUCAGCAAAAAAAAAAAAAAGGUGCACCAGAUGGAGACAGAGCUAAGUCUGCAGCUUGCUUUGUGGAUUCUUCUGGACAAGUCACUUCCCCUCUCUCGGCCAUAGUGGGAAUGUCUUCUGAAUGACAGAAUGGUGUUUCACCUUGAGUCGGCUCAAUACCACCUGCGCUUUGUGUCUGAGACCAUAUGUAAACACCAUCUGUGCUUAUUUCACGAAAUGAUGAUCCUGGUUAGCUUCA